UUUGGUAAAAAGUACAAGCAAGGUUGGAACUGCAGAGUUCUGAUGAGCCUCAGGAUGCUGAAGUCUAGCGUCUGAAUUGAACAUGGUAGGGCUCACAUCAUGGUUUGAGCAGAAAUCCGGCACUAAAUCCUUUUUUGAGAGUUAUCUUACUGACCUGUGUUUCUUAACAGUAGUGGUAGUAGUAAUAAUAAUAAUUACAAAGCAUGUAUCUAAACCAGAUCACCUAAGUUGUCAUUUUUCAUGUGUUUAAUGUGUGCUACUGUGUAUCAGUUUGAGAUUAUCGAAUGUACAGUGUAGCCUGUGUCCCUUGCAGUCCCAGCAAAUGCGGAGAUGUCGGCUUGCCUGCUGUAUAUGUGUUCAAAUGGCUCUGGAAGAGAGGAAGUCGUCUAGCUAUCAGUUACAAUGCCAUCCGGAAAAUGAAAGAGAUAGCCAGAUCGAAGGCAGUAGCAGUGGCUGAAGAGAUGUGGGGACUUGGUGGCCUGUUGUAGUAGGACCUGAUGGGAAAAGAAGGCCUAGCCUGAGGGUGCUCUGAAAGGCCAGAACUUUGUAUAUGUACCUGUACCUGUACCUGGAAUACACCGUCGCAGGCCAACUUCGACUCUUCUCUGCACCCCUUCUCGCUGCAGCCUCCAGGGUGUUGGGUAAGCUCCAUUCUCCACUGUCUGGUGACUAUCUGUUACCCUCCUAAACACAGGACUUCUGUUCAUGGCCAUGUUCAGGCCAUCAGACAAGUUGUGUCCCCUGUGUGACAGGACACACAAUUCAGUGUGGAUUGUGGUGGGGAAAUGUGAGGUAAUAGACAGUGUGAAAGUUCCCAGCUGCCUCCAAAGUCCCAGGCAGUCUGGAUUCUCUCUUCAUGGCAAUGAGAAGCUCUAGAAGAUUUGUGUAUACUGUGGUGCCUCAAACUUCUAAAGGGGACCAAUUGUACAUUUUAGAAGGAUCCCUCUGGUUUCCAUGAGGGAAGGAUAGGUUUGCAAAGGCAAGACAGCAGCAGAUGGAUUCUGAGUGCAGUCCAGGUAAGAGAGUGUGGAGACCAGAGCCAUGGAUAGACAUGGAGUGAGUGUGACUAUGGAUGGACUGUAGAUGAGUAGGACUACUCACUCAAAUUUGCAUGUGGAGGAGAGAAGUCAGUCAUUAUCCAGCCAAUGAACUUGACCUCACCUCCUUCCCCCUUUCCUCCCCAAGCAUCCCCUGCAUCACUUUGGAAAUACAGUCUCUUAUUAGAACGAGUCAGGAAGCAAGGGUUCCAAGAAUAGCUUAUGAUUUUGUAGCAGUCCCAAAAGCAAACAGCCACUGGCUUAAUUUUUUAGUGUGCGUAUAUUUUUGUGUAUUCCAUAUGGAUUU